rnacentral:rRNA from 1 species
GUAGUCCACGCCGUAAACGAUGGAUACUAGCUGUUGGAGGUAUCGACCCCUUCAGUAGCGAAGCUAACGCGUUAAGUAUCCCGCCUGUGGAGUACGGUCGCAAGACUAAAACAUAAAGGAAUUGACGGGGAGCCGCACAAGCGGUGGAUUAUGUUCUUUAAUUCGAUGAUAACCGAUGAACCUUACCAGGGUUUGACAUCCUUGGAAUUUUGCCGAAAGGCGAGAGUGCUUCAUUGAGCCAAGUGACAGAUGAUGCAUGGCCGUCGUCAGCUCGUGUCGUGAGAUGUUUGGUUAAGUCCAUUAACGAGCGCAACCCUUGUGAUUAGUUGUAUUUUUCUAAUCAGACUGCCCUGGCAACGGGGAGGAAGGAGGGGAUGAGGUCAGGUCAGUAUUUCUCUUACACCCUGGGCUAGAAACAUAAUACAAUGGCCAGUACAAUGCGCAGCGAAGCCGCGAGGUGGAGCAAAUCGCAUCAAAGCUGGUCCCAGUUCGGAUUGGAGGCUGAAACUCGCCUCCAUGAAGUUGGAAUCGCUAGUAAUCGCAGAUCAGCAAGCUGCGGUGAAUACGUUCCCGGCUCUUGUACACACCGCCCGUCAAACCAUGAAAGUCACCAACACCCGAAGUCCGAUUCGUCGGCCUAAGGUGGGGGGGAUGAUUGGGGUU